CGGGUGAGUAACGCGUGGGUAACCUGCCUUAUACAGGGGGAUAACAGUCAGAAAUGGCUGCUAAUACCGCAUAAGCGCACAGAGCUGCAUGGCUCAGUGUGAAAAACUCCGGUGGUAUAAGAUGGACCCGCGUUGGAUUAGCUUGUUGGCGGGGUAACGGCCCACCAAGCCUACGAUCGGUAGCCGGACUGAGAGGUUGAUCGGCCACAUUGGGACUGAGACACGGCCCAGACUCCUACGGGAGGCAGCAUG
rnacentral:rRNA from 1 species